rnacentral:rRNA from 1 species
GAUGAACGCUGGCGGCGUGCCUAAUACAUGCAAGUCGAGCGAACGGUCCAGAAGCUUUCUUGUCUGAUUUUAUCGGCGGUCGGGUGCGUCCCACGUGGUUAACCUACCUCUACGACUGGGAUACCUUCGCGAAACCGUAUCUACUACCCGAUAAUUUUUUGCACCUCAUUGUUCCAACGUUAAAUUCGGUCUUUCUUUCACUUAUAGCUUGCUCCGCGCUGCAUUAGUUAGUUGGUAAGGUAACGGCUUACCAAGGCAAGGAUGCAUAGCCGACCUGAGAGGGAGAAGGGAUACACGGGAACUGAGACACGGUAGAGACUCCGAAGGGAGGAAGCAGUAGGGAAUCUUACGCAAUGGGGGAAAGGCUGACGGAGGAAAGCCGCGUGAGGGAUGAAGGUCUUAGGAUCGGAAAACUCUGUUAUUAGGGAAGAACAUAUGUGUAAGUAACUGGGAACAUAUUGACGGUACCGAAUCAGAAAGCCACGGCUAACUACGUG